AUGGCUCAGGAUGAACGCUAGCGACAGGCUAACACAUGCAAGUCGAGGGGCAUCACGGGAGUAGCAAUACAACUGGUGGCGACCGGCGCACGGGUGAGUAACGCGUAUGCAACCUACCUAUCAGAGGGGAAUAACCCGGCGAAAGUCGGACUAAUACCGCAUAAAACAGGGGCACCGCAUGGUGAUAUUUGUUAAAGAAAUUCGCUGAUAGAUGGGCAUGCGUUCCAUUAGGUAGUUGGUGAGGUAACGGCUCACCAAGCCGACGAUGGAUAGGGGAACUGAGAGGUUGGUCCCCCACACUGGUACUGAGACACGGACCAGACUCCUACGGGAGGCAGCAGUGAGGAAUAUUGGUCAAUGGGCGGGAGCCUGAACCAGCCAAGUCGCGUGAAGGAAGAAGGAUCUAUGGUUCGUAAACUUCUUUUGCAGGGGAAUAAAGUGCAGGACGUGUCCUGUUUUGUAUGUACCCUGAGAAUAAGGAUCGGCUAACUCCGUGCCAGCCGCCGC
rnacentral:rRNA from 1 species